GAUCAAGUGAAUAAGUGCAUGUGGUGGAUGCCUUGGCGAUUACAGGCGAUGAAGGACGUGGAAGCCUGCGAAAAGCUUCGGGGAGCUGGCAAACAAGCUUUGAUCCGGAGAUAUCCGAAUGGGGAAACCUGACUCUUGCUUAAUCAGUUUUUAUGAAAUAUAGAAGAAUUGAUUGAGCAAGAGUCAACCUUGACUGAAUAUAUAGGUUAAGUGUAGCGAACCUGGAGAACUGAAACAUCUAAGUAACCAGAGGAAAAGAAAUCAACUGAGAUUCCCAGAGUAGUGGCGAGCGAAAUGGGAAAAGCCUUCAAUAUUUAGCAUUUGAAUUAAUCGAAUUUUCUGGAAAGUUAAGCCAUAGUAGGUGAUAGCCCUGUAGGUGAAAAUUCAAAUGUGGAACUAAGAUUGAGAUAAGUAGAGCGGGACACGUGGAAUCCUGUUUGAAUAUGGGGGGACCAUCCUCCAAGGCUAAAUACUCGUAAUCGACCGAUAGUGAACCAGUACCGUGAGGGAAAGGCGAAAAGAACCCCGGGAGGGGAGUGAAAUAGA
rnacentral:rRNA from 1 species